GACAGAGGGUGCAAACGUUGUUCGGAAUUACUGGGCGUAAAGCGUGUGUAGGCGGCUUUGCAAGUCGGAUGUGAAAGCCCCGGGCUCAACCCGGGAAGUGCACUCGAUACUGCAGAGCUUGAGUGUCGGGAGAGGUUGGUGGAAUUCUCGGUGUAGAGGUGAAAUUCGUAGAGUAUCGAGAGGAACACCGGGCGGCGGAAGGCGGCCAACUGGACGAACACUGA
rnacentral:rRNA from 1 species